AUCAAUAUCUUUGAAAUGGACUGAGACAAGUAGGGUCAUAGCCUCAAGUUCUGGGCCAGAAAUAGCAGGGCACAGUCUUAAGACAAAUCUUAUGGGGGUGGCUGUGCAGGCAAAAUGGACAGGUGACAGCUGGAGGUGCAGGUGGGUGGCAGGUGAUUUGUUUGUUACCAUUGACAGCCCACAUUUGUCACUGUUCACCAUGAGCCAGGACCUGGGGACACAGGAUCUUGCCUUCGAGGAAUUCACAGAUCAGGUUUUGAGACGAAACAUGGCACGAGUCUCUCAGAACCCUGCUUGAGCAGAGCAGUUACAUUAUAUUCCACAAGUCAUAAAUAUUUGGGGAGCAAAAUCGAUUCCUGCAGCAGUGGUGGAGGGAUGCAGAGUGAUUGCUGUACUUUGAUACAAGUCAUCUACCUCGUGGCCAGCUGAGGUGGAUUAAAGUCUUCCCAGGAGGUAGGGCUUAAUCUCUGGCCAUAGGGCUCCUGGAAUGGCCAUAGAGGGUAGUCAGUGUGGGCUACUGUCCUUCUGGUCCCUGCCAGAGGUCAAGGCUGACAGGCACAGGAACAAUUCCUUCAAGGCCUGAUGGCCCAGAAAAUAAAGUUUGACUCCUUCAUUUGGCCGCGGGAGUGUCUUCGCUGCACACAGCAGCUGAGCUCAGUCGGGAAUGCUCAUUCAGGCUCCCUGCCUGUGGGUAACCUGGACUCUAUCCUGGUCUCUCCAUGUUUGCUGUGUGAGCUGUGAGCCCUGAAUAGGAUGCAGAGCAGAAGCCCCCUGCCUUUAGUUUCCUCUUAGCCUAUCUACAAUUCUUCCCUGCCUGGAAAGGGUGUUCGGAACAGGCCUCUCACCAUCUGCUUCUUUUACCUGUUUUACUCUCCCUUUCUCCUACUCAUGGAGGGUGGAAUUUCUACUUCCAGUUUCUAUUUAAAAGGGAUUUUCCCAUAUGCCAUUUCUACUCCAUCCUUUCCUCCCACCAUGAUGACUGGCUGGCUGCUGAGAAACAUGAUUUAUGCAGGAGAGGGUGAUAAACACAUAGUUUAAUGUUUUCUAAAUAUGAACCUUGUUUUUCUCAUUUUAUCUACAAGCAUGUGUGACUGUGGUGUGCAUAAAACUGUGUCAACAAUGGUUUCUUUCCUUGAGGAGCUCACAUUUACAAAGAAAGGAAGAAAUUUCAACCAAAAAAUAAAAAACACCAAACCUGAAAGGAAAAUCAACAGCAAGAGCCUGGACUUUCUAAACUAGGAGGAAGGCAGAGCUCCAGGAGACUCUUCUCAUUUCUCUGAGGGCAUGGAAACUCCAAUGUGGAAUAGAGCUUGGAGUUUAAAAAGAUAGUCUCUUCUGUGUCCUGGAUAGAGACCACACCAAAGGUUUGCAAUAUAGAGGCACAACAAUCAAAAUCAUGAAUUGAGAUGUCCUUGACAUUCCAUUGUCAAGGGGAAUUAUUGCUUCCCUUGCAUUAAAGACAUUGUUGCCAAUGCAUAUUCUAUAAUGUACCUUUCUUUCCUAACAAAGAUUCCAGUUCAAUCUGCAUUUUCCUAUAGCUCAAAGUUUGCACUUUCAUUUAACCUAAUAAACAUCUGACCUUCCCAAGGGAAAUAUAAACAAAAUCUUGACUUUCAAGUAUUGUGGUCAUUCUUGGUGGAGACAUGCACUGGAUCAUCAUAUCAACCUUGACUAUUAUUUCCUAUGACACACCAGAUUAGCUGGUUUACAGUUAAUUCAGCCAGUUACAAAUUCUUCAUAGGUAAGAGUUUAGCUUUUAAUCUGAUGCCA
rnacentral:lncRNA from 1 species